rnacentral:rRNA from 1 species
AGUGAACGCUGGCGGUAGGCCUAACACAUGCAAGUCGAACGGCAGCACAGUAAGAGCUUGCUCUUACGGGUGGCGAGUGGCGGACGGGUGAGGAAUACAUCGGAAUCUACUUUUUCGCGGGGGAUAACGUAGGGAAACUUACGCUAAUACCGCAUACGACCUACGGGUGAAAGCAGGGGAUCUUCGGACCUUGCGCGAUUGAAUGAGCCGAUGUCGGAUUAGCUAGUUGGCGGGGUAAAGGCCCACCAAGGCGACGAUCCGUAGCUGGUCUGAGAGGAUGAUCAGCCACACUGGAACUGAGACACGGUCCAGACUCCUACGGGAAGCAGCAGUGGGGAAUAUUGGACAAUGGGCGCAAGCCUGAUCCAGCCAUACCGCGUGGGUGAAGAAGGCCUUCGGGUUGUAAAGCCCUUUUGUUGGGAAAGAAAAGCAGCAGGUUAAUACCCCGCUGUUCUGACGGUACCCAAAGAAUAAGCACCGGCUAACUUCGUG